rnacentral:misc_RNA from 1 species
UUAGAAAUCGGAGGGCUGUCCAG